AGGAGAGAGAGACAGAGAGCCUGCUUGCUUUAAAGGAGCAAAGUGGGAGAGGAGAGGAGAGGAGCCGCUUACAUGAGUGUAAGCGGCUCCUGUCCAGUUGGCUCAUUUAAAGCAAGCAGGCUCUCUGUCCCUCUCUCCU
rnacentral:miRNA from 1 species